ensembl:snRNA U6 U6 spliceosomal RNA
GUGCUUGCUUUGGCAGCACAAAUACUAAAAUUGGAACAAUACAGAGAAAAUUAGCAUGG